UGCCAGCCGCCGCGGUAAUACGGAGGGUGCAAGCGUUGUCCGGAUUUAUUGGGUUUAAAGGGUACGUAGGCGGCUUAUUAAGUCAGUGGUGAAAGUUUGCAGCUUAACUGUAAAAGUGCCAUUGAUACUGGUAAGCUUGAGUACUGUAGAGGUGGGCGGAAUUCCGCAUGUAGCGGUGAAAUGCAUAGAUAUGCGGAGGAACACCAAAAGCGAAGGCAGCUCACUGGACAGUAACUGACGCUGAGGUACGAAAGCGUGGGGAUCGAACAGGAUUAGAUA
rnacentral:rRNA from 1 species